AUAAAAUUGAUGAAAUGGACCAUUCUAUAAAUGUUAAAUUUUUAGCCCAGGCCUAAUCCCAACACCAGCCCAACCCUCCACCCCAACCCAGUCCCCAUUUAUCCCAAUCAGGCAUUUCUCUCUCACCAUAUCCACUGUUUGUUUGCCCUGUAUUCUUAUGCAGAAGAACAACAAUGGCAGUUUAAACCAGCAACACUUGAAUCCUACAAUCUCUUGCUGUCCGAAACCACCCUUUGAAUUUCAGGGAGAAGCCACAACCAGUGAAGGGUUUUGAAUUCCACAUCAAGCAAAGAAGAAUAGGAGCAAUAAGUUGGGUGGCACUGCUGAGCACUUUUCACAGAAGCUACUUCUAGGUUUGAGUUGCAACUGAUAGCGCCUGAUCAGACGGUUGCAGAAGCGGAGGAAGAAAUCAGAGGGCGCGCACAAGCUUUGUUGGAAGUGAAGGAUCUGAUGGAGUUGGAGUCAUGGAGAGAAUUACAGACAGCUCUAAGGAAGAGCUCGUCGUUGUUGAAGAGAUUUUUACACCAUAAAUCAAUGGGAGACGAGAUCCUUAAAGCUCCAUAGCCGAACCAAGGUCAAAUGUGUAGGAAGCCACCAUGGGAUCGCAGAGGGAAGCUGAUCAGUUCACCAAGCUAAGAAGUAUAUUCUUGGGUCUUUCUAUACAGCCAUGAAUUUGAUGAUCUUGAAUUUCCUGCAUUUGUUAAUGAUUUUCGGGUUGACGUACUUGCACAAAUGAGCCACAAAUGGAGGAAACUGGAAACCCCUCCCCUCCAUCCAUGGAAGCAUCACGCUCUCCUCUAAAAGAUCGCCAUGGUAGCAGGAGAAGUAGAAGCUCAAAGCUGAUUGUUGCUACUCAAAGCAUUUUUCUGAAUUUUUUGGUCUAUCACUGUCCAUUCGAUUGAAACCCCAAAAGCCAAAGAGAGAGAAAAGUAGAGAGAGAAGGAGAGAAGAAGAUUUUGCGUUGAAAGUUGAAACUCACAGUGCCGAACUGAGGAGAGAGAGGGGAAAGGGAAGGAGUGUUAGUGGGAAACCCCGAUCUGGGCCGUCCAGGGAUUCGUACCUUUGAAUCUUAACCGUUGAGUAUGGGACUGAUGUGACAGCAUCCAUGUACCACCAUACAUCAGUGGUUCUUGUCAGAGUACGGACUAUGUUUUAUUUUUGUUUUAAAGUGUUCACGUAUUAUUUUUCAAGAGAAAUUCCCAUGAAUCUAUUAUUCAAAUAUUCAUUUCAUGCUA